rnacentral:rRNA from 1 species
GACGAACGCUGGCGGCGUGCCUAAUACAUGCAAGUAGAACGCACAGUUUAUACCGUAGCUUGCUACACCAUAAACUGUGAGUUGCGAACGGGGGAGUAACGCGUAGGUAAUCUGCCUGGUAGCGGGGGAUAACUAAUGGAAACGAUAGAUAAUACAGCAUAAUAUUAAUUAUUGAAUGAUAAUUGAUUGAAAGAUGCAAUUGAAUCACUACUAGAUGGACAUGCGUUGUAUUAGCUAGUAGGUGAGGUAACGGCUCAACUAGGCGGCGAUACAGAGCCUACCUGAGAGGGUGGUCGGCCACACUGGGACUGAGACACGGCCCAGACUCCUACGGGGAGCAGCAGUAGGGGAUCUUCGGCAAUUGGCGAAAGUCUGACCGAGCAACGCCGCGGUAGUGGAAGAGGUUCUCGGGUCUUAAAAGUCUGUUGUUAGGGAAGAACGAGUGUGAGAUUGGAAAGUUCACGCUGUGACGGUAUCUUACCAGAAAGGGACGGCUAACUACGUG